GUGCGGGGCAGUGUGUGUGCUCGUGUGUUACUGUGUGUGUGUGUUCCACUGCUAAGCCCGACGAAUUACGCAAAAUCUUUUCGAACUCUACCGAGCGUUAUUUCGAAUUACCUAUUUCGAACCUUUUACUCUUUUUGAUUUAGUGUUGAGUGUUUAGUGUGUCCUUUCACUGCACCGGAGCCAGGACUUGUUAGGGGCUCCUGAAGUAGGGGGGCGCCUCCCCCAGGCAGCCCCGAUGAGGUGAUGCUAUCGCUGUGUGUGGCUCUCCAAGCAGUAGCGAGUUGGGCAUCUUGCAAGUUUAGACAGCGAAACGACCAUGGUCCCCCUGUUUCAAGGACCUCGAAGAAACUUCAAGUAAAAGAUACAGAAAGAGAGAGAGAGAGUAGGGGGAGAAACAGGCAAUAUGGAACACGAGUCGUAAAUGUGAGC
rnacentral:lncRNA from 1 species